rnacentral:rRNA from 1 species
UACAGAGGUCUCAAGCGUUGUUCGGAUUCAUUGGGCGUAAAGGGUGCGUAGGUGGCGCGGUAAGUCGGGUGUGAAAUCUCGGGGCUUAACUCCGAAACUGCAUUCGAUACUGCCGUGCUUGAGGACUGGAGAGGAGACUGGAAUUUACGGUGUAGCAGUGAAAUGCGUAGAUAUCGUAAGGAAGACCAGUGGCGAAGGCGGGCCUCUGGACAGUUCCUGACACUGAGGUACGAAGGCCAGGGGAGCAAACGGG